UACGUAGGGGGCAAGCGUUGUCCGGAAUUAUUGGGCGUAAAGAGCUCGUAGGCGGUCUGUUGCGUCUGCCGUGAAAACCCGAGGCUUAACCUCGGGCCUGCGGUGGAUACGGGCAGACUAGAGGUAGGUAGGGGAGAACGGAAUUCCCGGUGUAGCGGUGAAAUGCGCAGAUAUCAGGAGGAACACCGGUGGCGAAGGCGGGUCUCUGGGCAGUAACUGACGCUGAGGAGCGAAAGCGUGGGGAGCGAACAGG
rnacentral:rRNA from 1 species